UACGUAGGGUGCAAGCGUUGUCCGGAAUUAUUGGGCGUAAAGGGCUCGUAGGCGGUCCGUCACGUCGGGAGUGAAAUCCUGGGGCUUAACCCCAGAACUGCUUCCGAUACGGGCAGACUAGAGGUAGGUAGGGGAGAAUGGAAUUCCUGGUGUAGCGGUGGAAUGCGCAGAUAUCAGGAGGAACACCAGUGGCGAAGGCGGUUCUCUGGGCCGAUACUGACGCUGAGGAGCGAAAGCGUGGGGAGCGAACAGG
rnacentral:rRNA from 1 species